AUACGGAGGAUGCGAGCGUUAUCCGGAUUUAUUGGGUUUAAAGGGUGCGUAGGCUGUGGGGAAAGUCAGGGGUGAAAGCCCGGCGCUUAACGCCGGAACUGCCUUUGAUACUUCUCCGCUGGAAUACGGAUGCCGUGGGAGGAAUGAGUAGUGUAGCGGUGAAAUGCAAAGAUAUUACUCAGAACACCGAUUGUGAAGGCAUCUCACCAACCCGUGAAUGACCCUGAGGCUCGAAAGCCUGGAGAUCAAACAGGAUUAGAUACCCUGGUAGAGCACGCCGUAAACGAUUCUCACCAACCGUCUGCGAUCCACAGUCGGUGGCCAAGCGAAAGCGAUAAGCUAUCCACCUUGGGAGUACGUUCGCAAGAAUGAAACUCACAUGAAUUGACGGGG
rnacentral:rRNA from 1 species